AGCUUUAUAGUCAAUAAUGAUAUUAGACUGCAAUUCUAAAGGAGUAAUAAUUUACUAAGGCUU
rnacentral:tRNA from 1 species